UGGAGUAGACGGGACUCGAACCCGUGUCCUAACGUAGAACCAUACAAAAUUCUACGGGCGUAGUUACUAGUUUUAAUCUACGUUAAGGUUACAACUAAUAACUGAAAUUACCUUAACUGAGUGGUAAAGCCUCUCCUGAGUUAUCCACUUUUACCUCAGCGUUGUCGGUUGAUGAGUCCUCUAGGUAGAACCGACCCUAGUCUAGAGGGGUAAGUGUGUAGCUAGUCUAAAACUAGGCUACAGCUAAUAAUUCUUCGUUUUUAGCAGUUAUAUUUACUGCGAUGAUUAAGUCAUCACUCUGCCCGCUAUUCAUAUACUCCUUACGCCAGUCGAAACCAAAACUACCCC
rnacentral:tmRNA from 1 species